rnacentral:rRNA from 1 species
CCCAACCUACGGGGCGCAGCAGUGGGGAAUAUUGCACAAUGGGGAAAACCCUGAUGCAGCGACGCCGCGUGAGUGAAGAAGUAAUUGGUUGCGUAAAGCUCUAUCAGCAGGGAAGAAAUACUGACCUUACGGUCAGCAGACGGUACCUGAGUAAGAAGCCCCGGCUAACUACGUGCCAGCAGCCGCGGUAAUACGUAGGGUGCAAGCGUUAUCCGGAUUUACUGGGUGAAAAGGGAGCGUAGACGGUACGCCAAGUCUGAAGUGAAAUGCCGCAGCUUAACUGUGGAAC